rnacentral:lncRNA from 1 species
UUCCGCGCUUGCGCGCCAAGACGGCUCGGAUGCCGGCGGUCUCUGCUGAAGAGAGAAGAUGGCGCUUGACGGACCAGAGCAGGUAUGGCGGGUGCCUGGACCAGUCCAUGCUGGACGCUGCCUGCGACCGGAUCUGCUGUGUCAGCGCCGCCCUCGGUGAGUCAGGGCAAGGCUGGGAGAGGAAGACGCGGUAGAAGCGGAGUGAGUGAGGGAAGCGAUGGGCGCGGGAAUGGCCGGCCCACGGGUCGCAGGAGACGGGACGCCAGUCCUUUGGCUCCGUUCCGCUGGCUCCUUCGUCAGUACUGACACCUCGGGCUUGUAGAGCACUUCACGCAGUGCAAAGCGCCCCCCGUCUAUAUCAUAUCGCCUCUCGGUCCUCCUAAAAGUCGUAUGA